AGUGAACGCUGGCGGUAGGCCUAACACAUGCAAGUCGAACGGCAGCACAGUAAGAGCUUGCUCUUACGGGUGGCGAGUGGCGGACGGGUGAGGAAUACAUCGGAAUCUACUUUUUCGUGGGGGAUAACGUAGGGAAACUUACGCUAAUACCGCAUACGACCUACGGGUGAAAGCAGGGGACCUUCGGACCUUGCGCGAUUGAAUGAGCCGAUGUCGGAUUAGCUAGUUGGCGGGGUAGAGGCCCACCAAGGCGACGAUCCGUAGCUGGUCUGAGAGGAUGAUCAGCCACACUGGAACUGAGACACGGUCCAGACUCCUACGGGAGGCAGCAGUGGGGAAUAUUGGACAAUGGGCGCAAGCCUGAUCCAGCCAUACCGCGUGGGUGAAGAAGGCCUUCGGGUUGUAAAGCCCUUUUGUUGGGAAAGAAAAGCAGCAGGUUAAUACCCCGCUGUUCUGACGGUACCCAAAGAAUAAGCACCGGCUAACUUCGUG
rnacentral:rRNA from 1 species